rnacentral:rRNA from 1 species
AUUGAACGCUGGCGGCAUGCUUUACACAUGCAAGUCGAACGGUAACAGGCCUUCGGGUGCUGACGAGUGGCGAACGGGUGAGUAAUGCAUCGGAACGUGCCCAAUCGUGGGGGAUAACGUAGCGAAAGUUACGCUAAUACCGCAUAAGCCCUGAGGGGGAAAGCAGGGGAUCGCAAGACCUUGCGCGAAUGGAGCGGCCGAUGUCGGAUUAGCUAGUUGGUGGGGUAAAAGGCCCACCAAGGCGACGAUCCGUAGCUGGUCUGAGAGGACGACCAGCCACACUGGGACUGAGACACGGCCCAGACUCCUACGGGAGGCAGCAGUGGGGAAUUUGGACAAUGGACGCAAGUCUGAUCCAGCCAUUCCGCGUGCAGGAUGAAAGGCCCUCGGGUUGUAAAACUGCUUUUGUACGGAACGAAAAAGGUCUCUCUUAAUACGGGGGGCUCAUGACGGUACCGUAAGAAUAAGCACCGGCUAACUACGUG